GACGAACGCUGGCGGCGUGCCUAAUACAUGCAAGUAGAACGCUGAAGGAGGAGCUUGCUUCUCUGGAUGAGUUGCGAACGGGUGAGUAACGCGUAGGUAACCUGCCUGGUAGCGGGGGAUAACUAUUGGAAACGAUAGCUAAUACCGCAUAAUAGUAGAUGUUGCAUGACAUUUGCUUAAAAGGUGCAAUUGCAUCACUACCAGAUGGACCUGCGUUGUAUUAGCUAGUUGGUGGGGUAACGGCUCACCAAGGCGACGAUACAUAGCCGACCUGAGAGGGUGAUCGGCCACACUGGUACUGAGACACGGCCCAGACUCCUACGGGAGGCAGCAGUAGGGAAUCUUCGGCAAUGGACGGAAGUCUGACCGAGCAACGCCGCGUGAGUGAAGAAGGUUUUCGGAUCGUAAAGCUCUGUUGUAAGAGAAGAACGAGUGUGAGAGUGGAAAGUUCACACUGUGACGGUAUCUUACCAGAAAGGGACGGCUAACUACGUG
rnacentral:rRNA from 1 species